UCCCUGUUACCGGGGCAGUCUAGCUAGAGAAAUACAACUAACUAUAAGGGUUGCGCUCGUUAAUGGACUUAACCAAACAUCUCACGACACGAGCUGACGACGGCCAUGCAGCACCUGUCACUGGAUUCCCGAAGGCACUCUCUCCUUUCGGAGAAAUUCCCAGGAUGUCAAACCUUGGUAAGGUUCUUCGCUUUGCAUCGAAUUAAACAACACGCUCCACCGCUUGUGCGGGUCCCCGUCAAUUCCUUUAUGUUUUAAGCUUGCGCUCGUACUCCACAGGCGGGAUGCUUAACGCGUUAGCUUCGCUACUACCAGGGUCGAUACUGAUAACAGCUAGCAUCCAUAGUUUACGGCGUGGACUAC
rnacentral:misc_RNA from 1 species